AAUAGAUACCCGGGUAGUCCACGCCGUAAACGAUGAGUGCUAAGUGUUAGAGGGUUUCCGCCCUUUAGUGCUGCAGCUAACGCAUUAAGCACUCCGCCUGGGGAGUACGGUCGCAAGACUGAAACUCAAAGGAAUUGACGGGGGCCCGCACAAGCGGUGGAGCAUGUGGUUUAAUUCGAAGCAACGCGAAGAACCUUACCAGGUCUUGACAUCCUCUGACAACUCUAGAGAUAGAGCGUUCCCCUUCGGGGGACAGAGUGACAGGUGGUGCAUGGUUGUCGUCAGCUCGUGUCGUGAGAUGUUGGGUUAAGUCCCGCAACGAGCGCAACCCUUGAUCUUAGUUGCCAGCAUUUAGUUGGGCACUCUAAGGUGACUGCCGGUGACAAACCGGAGGAAGGUGGGGAUGACGUCAAAUCAUCAUGCCCCGUUAUGACCUGGGCUACACACGUGCUACAAUGGAUGGUACAAAGGGCUGCAAGACCGCGAGGUCAAGCCAAUCCCAUAAAACCCAUUCUCAGUUCGGAUUGUAGG
rnacentral:rRNA from 1 species